rnacentral:tRNA from 1 species
GGGGAUGUGGUUUAGUGGUAUAACGUUCGCUUAGCAUGCGAAAGGUCCGGGGUUCAAUUCCCCGCUUCUCCA